rnacentral:rRNA from 1 species
UACAGAGGGUGCGAGCGUUAAUCGGAAUUACUGGGCGUAAAGCGUGCGCAGGCGGUUUUGUAAGCCAGAUGUGAAAUCCCCGGGCUCAACCUGGGAAUGGCAUUUGGGACUGCAAGGCUGGAGUUUGGCAGAGGAGACUGGAAUUCCCGGUGUAGCAGUGAAAUGCGUAGAUAUCGGGAGGAAUACCGAUGGCGAAGGCAGGUCUCUGGGCUAUAACUGACGCUCAUGCACGAAAGCGUGGGGAGCAAACAGG